CGGCUGGAGCAUGGCAGGGGGGAGGCUUCGGGGAGGCAUUGGGAAGAAAUUCUUCCCUCUGAGGGUGCUGAGGCCCUGGCCCAGGGGGCCAUCAAUAUUAGGGGUCUGUAGGCUCAGGCACUGGCAACUGCAGAGACUGGGUGCAUGACUGUUGUGUAGGUGUGGUCUGUAACCAUGGCAAAUUUCGAACCGGACCAGAACACCAAGUAGGAGAAGAGGACUGGGAGCCAUAUAUUGGAGUGGUCAUUUUUUUUGCUGGACCAGAUACUUGAGAGACCUGGGGUUCUGUGAAUUGGUUAAUGUAAGAAACUGGGGAUCCAAUGCAGCUACUGGGCAGAGCCUGAGGUCUGGGGUCAGCUGCUGCUAAGGCCACAGGUCCGGACCAACUGUGAUAGAAGACCCAUUGCACAUGUGUGUCUGUGCACAAGAUGACUGGAAGACCAGAGGAACCAGAGGUAGCUACUGGACAGACUGAGUGCCUAAGGCCAAUCUCCUCCAGCUCAAAAUGCUCUGCCAGCCCGUGACCUCCUUGCCUUUGGUUCUCAAGGAUACAACAGUGCCUGCCUUCUCUCUUGGAUGCAUGCUUAGAUGAUUGCAAUAACUUUACUAUUGGUGGUAAUUUACUUCUGUGGGACCGGCAAUUAGCACUAAAAGCACUUCAAUCAAGUUAACCAAAGAAAUAAAGAGCAGGGAAAAUAGAGAGAGAGAAGGUAUGCUGGGAAACCAUUUCCAAUUCGACUGGGUAAUUCUCAGAAUUUGAUGUGUAACAUCUUUACCAAGAAAUGUUUUCUCAGCCCAGGUUCUGUGGACUCCCAAACACCAGAGGAAACUCCACCUAAGUCCUUGCAGGGAAAGAUCUGGCUCAUCAGCAAAAUACAGACCUUACCUUGCGUGUGGCUCCCCUUGUGCCAGGAUUUGGACUUGCACAUGGGUGACAGAAGUGUCUCAGUGACACCGGUGCAUCUGGUGACAUUGCUGAUGGCUGUGCAACCUCCCCUGACAUCUACGGAGGACAUGAAACGUGCUGCUCACUGGUUCUGGUAAUUCACAGUAAAGCACACAGAGAAAUAAGGGAUUUGGGUCCUUAUUUACGUGAAGCCUUAUCAAGCCUGAGUGAAAACAAGAAUUAGACCCAAAAUGUGCAAGUAUCUGGCCUCUGGUCAAGAGUGAAGUGCUUCAGGGGGCUGGGUUGGGUGACAGCACGUUUGGAAAUGCUUUAUCUGCAGGAGGGCAAGAGGGAGAGCUAUGGUCAGGGCAGGCUGCAGACCGGCAGCAGGGGAUGCCGAAGCACCGAUCCUUCAGUUUUAAACAAACAUGAGCUCUGCAAUGCCAUUGUUUUGCAGAGAUUGUGUUACUUGACAUCAUUGCAGGCUGCUGAAAUCCAGCCAGCUCGUUGGUGCCUGGCCAGCUCCCUCAGGUGUCUCUUCCCCACCACAUGGAGGUGGAGGGGCCAUGACAAGGGGAGGCACUGAGGGAUUUGCACCCCUCAUCUCCCACGUGCUACGAGACGUGGCAGGGAAGUCCUGCCCAUGAGGCAAGGUCCCAUGCACAACCGAUGGGCACAGCAAGGGAUUUUCCCAGCUUUCCAUCACCAGGAGGUUGGGCGCGGGGAGGGAAGGUGUUGUAUCAUUGACCCUCAUCCACCUGGGCUUCAGCUCUGGCCACUGGGCUGAAAAAUAAAUGCCUUAUGGAUGUUUCUGGAGGUGAUGCUCUCAGAGCUUGUGAUAUCCUGAGUUACAUUUCUGUGCAUGGAUCACGCCCACGUCAUUAGGUCUCCUGGAAUUCAUUUUUGCUGAUAAGCAUUUGCGACACAUGCAAGCUUUUAGAAACACUCUAAUUAAUAGAAAGAAAAAAUAAACACUACAACUGAA